rnacentral:rRNA from 1 species
UUUCAGAAAGCGUUAAAGCUCCGUCCUACGUAAUAAUCUAAUACCAGAACCCGCACUGACCCCUUUACUUCUAUUGAGCGAUUCUGUAAACUACAGAAGACCUUAUGCUAAAACUAGUAACAAGAAACUGCACUUCUCUAAAACACAAGCGUAUGCCAAACUGGACAAACCAUUGGCAAUUAACGCCAGUGAGCCUCAUAUAGUAACCCCACCAGAAAACACUAUAGUUUCUGACGUUAACCUAACACAAGCGUGUUUCUAGAAAGAUUAAAAAAAAGAGAAGGAACUCGGCAAACUUUAACCCCGCCUGUUUACCAAAAACAUCGCCUCUUGUAAUACAUAAGAGGUCCAGCCUGCCCAGUGACACAAUUCAACGGCCGCGGUACUCUAACCGUGCGAAGGUAGCAUAAUCACUUGUCCUCUAAAUAAGGACUAGUAUCAAUGGCAUCACGAGGGUUAUACUGUCUCCCCUUUUUAAUCAGUGAAACUGACUUCCCCGUGAAGAGGCGGGGAUAAGCCUACAAGACGAGAAGACCCCAUGGAGCUUUAAACCCAAAAACACCCCCUUAAGUAAACCCUACAAAUUUAGGGGAGCUGUUUAUUGGUUUUAGGUUGGGGUGACCACGGAGAAAAACCAACCCUCCGCGACGAAUGAAUUUCAUCCUAAUCCCAGGGCCACCGCCCUAAGAAUCAACAGUUUGACGCUAAGUGAUCCAAUUAUUGAUCAACGAACCAAGUUACCCUGGGGAUAACAGCGCAAUCCAUUUCAAGAGCCCCUAUCGACAAAUGGGUUUACGACCUCGAUGUUGGAUCAGGGUAUCCCAGUGGUGCAGCCGCUACUGAAGGUUUGUUUGUUCAACAAUUAAA